AUCAAGUAAGACUACCUGCUGAAUUUAAGCAUAUUAUUAAGCAGAGGAAAAGAAACUAACAAGGAUACCCCUAGUAAUGGCGAAUGAAGCGGGUAAAGCUCAAAUUUAAAAUCCCUGGUCUCAGCGGCCAGGGAGUUGUAGUCUAGGAUCAGUGCAUGAUAGAGUCCUGCCCCGGUAAAAGUGCUCUGGAAAGGGCCAUCAUAGAAGGUGAAAAUCCUGUACAUGACCGGAGGUGGUUGGGUUCAACGAUUCUUGCGUUGAUACAGAGUCGGGUUGCUUGGGAAUGCAGCCUUAAAUGGGUGGUAAAUCUCAUCUAAAGCUAAAUACUGACAGGAGACCGAUAGUGAACAAGUACCGUGAGGGAAAGGUGAAAAGUACCCUGAGUAAGGGGGUGAAAUAGAACCUGAAACCAUGCGCUUACAAGCGGUCGGAGCCCUUUAGUGGGGUGACGGCGUGCCUUUUGCAUAAUGAGCCUACGAGUUACUUUAUAUGGCAAGGUUAAGGAUUAGAGGUCUGUAGCCGGAGCGAAAGCGAGUCUUAACAGGGCGUGUAGUCAUAUGGAGUAGACGCGAAACUUGGUGAUCUACCCAUGGCCAGGGUGAAGUUUAGGUAACACUAAAUGGAGGCCCGAACCAGUUGACGUUGAAAAGUCUUUGGAUGAGCUGUGGGUAGGGGUGAAAGGCCAAUCAAACUGAGAGAUAGCUCGUACUCCCCGAAAUGCUUUUAGGAGCAGCGUGGGAUGAUGUUUACUAGAGGUAGAGCUACCGAUUGGACUAGGGGGAGUCACAUCCUACCAAAUCCAGACGAACUCCGAAUGCUAGUAAAUUAGUCCUGCAGUGAGGGCAUGGGUGCUAAGGUCCGUGUCCGAGAGGGAAAGAACCCAGACCUACGGCUAAGGUCCCAAAAUCUGUACUAAGUUGAACUAAGGCGGUCCAAUUGCUUAGACAGCCAGGAUGUUGGCUUGGAAGCAGCCAUUCAUUUAAAGAGUGCGUAACAGCUCACUGGUCGAGCGAUAGGGCAUCGAUAAUAAUCGGGCAUAAAGUACAGUACCGAAGCUUAGGAUUUAUGGUAGGGGAGCAUUCUCUGUGGGGUGAAGGUGUGUUGUGAGACAUGCUGGACUGCAGAGAAGCGCAAAUGUAGGCAUAAGUAACGAUAAUGCGGGCGAGAAACCCGCACACCGAUAGACUAAGGUUUCCCCGGCAAUGCUAAUCAGCCGGGGGUUAGUCGGGGCCUAAGGCGAACCCGAGAGGGGUAGUCGAUGGAUAAUCGGUUAAUAUUCCGAUACUACCCAUAACUGCGAUGGGGUGACGGAGGAGUGAAAGUCCCGCGUGCUGACGGAAUAGCACGUUGAAGCGUGUAGGUAUAUUAGAUGUAGGCAAAUCCGCAUUUGAUGCUGAACGUGAUAGUACCAUGAAGCUACGGCGGAAUGGAUAGUGGGCCUAAACAGACUUCCGAGAAAACCCUCUAAGCUUCAGGUUAUGGGUACCCGUACCGUAAACCGACACAGGUAGUCAAGGAGAGAAUCCUGAGGUGCUCGAGUGAUUCAUGGCUAAGGAACUAGGCAAAAUGACCCUGUAACUUCGGGAGAAGGGGUCCCUACGUGAGUAGGGCGCAGCGAAACGAUCCAGGCGACUGUUUAUCAAAAACACAUGGCUUUGCGAACUUGAAAGAGGAAGUAUAAGGCCUGACACCUGCCCGGUGCUGGAAGGUUAAGGGGGGGAGUUAGCUUCGGCGAAGCUCUGAACUGAAGCCCCAGUAAACGGCGGCCGUAACUAUAACGGUCCUAAGGUAG
rnacentral:rRNA from 1 species